rnacentral:rRNA from 1 species
CCUACGGGAGGCAACAGUGGGGAAUAUUGCACAAUGGGGGAAACCCUGAUGCAGCGACGCCGCGUGAGUGAAGAAGUAUUUCGGUAUGUAAAGCUCUAUCAGCAGGGAAGAAAAUGACGGUACCUGAUUCAGAAGCCCCGGCUAAUUACGUGCCAGCAGCCGCGGUAAUACGUAGGGGGCAAGCGUUAUCCGGAUUUACUGGGUGUAAAGGGAGCGUAGACGGCAGCACAAGUCUGGAGUGAAAUGCCGGGGCUUAACCCCGGAACUGCUUGGGAAACUGUGCAGCUAGAGUGCAGGAGGGGUAAGUGGAAUUCCUAGUGUAGCGGUGAAAUGCGUAGAUAUUAGGAGGAACACCAGUGGCGAAGGCGGCUUACUGGACUGUAACUGACGUUGAGGCUCGAAAGCGUGGGGAGCAAACAGGAUUAGAUACCCCAGUAGUC